CGUUUGUUGGGGAGAGAGGCUGAGAUCAAAGAACAGGAAAGUAGCCAGGCAACCGUACUGUUCAAGAGAGACAGACUGCCUCCAGCAGUGGCCAGAAAUGGAUGCCUAGGGGAGAGUAAGAACAAGCAGCAGCAGAACAGCCAAAGUGGCGGACCAUCUAUUCGCCCCUCUUCUGCUUUAGAAAAGGCCUCAGCAACUGGAUCCUCCUCAGCCAAGGUAGUUCGUGUGGUCAGACAAAGGUAAAUAUUUGUGAGCUUGAAAUGUAAUGCUGGCCUAGAGCGGGUUUGGUGCUACUGAGGAUCCAUAUGGGGCAGCAGGGAUGGUGACUCCACCACUUCCCUGGGCAGCCUGUUCCAGUGCCUGACAACCUUGUCCAUGAAGAACUUUUUCCUAAUAUCCAUCUAAAUCUCCCCUUGCACAACCUGAGGCCAUUUCCUCUCAUCCUGUCACUUGCUACUUGAGACAAGAGACCAACAUCCUCCAUGCUACAACCUCCUUUCAGGUAGUUGCAGACAGCGAUAAGGUCUCCCUUCAGCCUCCUUUUCUCCAGGCUGAACAGCCCCAGCUCCCUCAACCGCUCCUCAUCAGACUUGUGCUCCAGACCCCUCACCAGCCUCAUUGCCCUUCUCUGCACUCUCUUCAGCACCUCAAUGUCAAAUAAAAGCUACUUUUAUGAUGA